rnacentral:rRNA from 1 species
AUUGAACGCUGGCGGCAUGCCUUACACAUGCAAGUCGAACGGCAGCACGGGAGCAAUCCCGGUGGCGAGUGGCGAACGGGUGAGUAAUACAUCGGAACGUGCCCAAUAGUGGGGGAUAGCCCGGCGAAAGCCGGAUUAAUACCGCAUACGACCUACGGGUGAAAGCGGGGGAUCGCAAGACCUCGCGCUACUGGAGCGGCCGAUGUCGGAUUAGCUAGUUGGUGGGGUAAAGGCCACCAAGGCUACGAUCCGUAGCUGGUCUGAGAGGACGACCAGCCACACUGGGACUGAGACACGGCCCAGACUCCUACGGGAGGCAACAGUGGGGAAUUUUGGACAAUGGGCGCAAGCCUGAUCCAGCCAUGCCGCGUGCGGGAAGAAGGCCU